rnacentral:rRNA from 1 species
GACGAACGCUGGCGGCGUGCUUAACACAUGCAAGUCGAGCGGUAAGGCCCUUUCGGGGGUACGACGAGCGGCGAACGGGUGAGUAACACGUGGGUGACCUGCCCUCCAGCUCUGGGAUAAGCCUGGGAAACCGGGUCUAAUACCGGAUAUGACUCCAUGACGCAUGUUGUGGGGUGGAAAGCCUUGUGCGGCUGAGGAUGGGCCCGCGGCCUAUCAGCUUGUUGGUGGGGUGAUGGCCUACCAAGGCGACGACGGGUAGCCGGCCUGAGAGGGCGACCGGCCGACACUGGGACUGAGACACGGCCCAGACUCCUACGGGAGGCAGCAGUGGGGAAUCUUGCGCAAUGGGCGAAAGCCUGACGCAGCGACGCCGCGUGAGGGAUGACGGCCU